UACGGAGGAGGCAAGCGUUAUCCGGAAUUAUUGGGCGUAAAGCGUCUGUAGGUGGCUUUUUAAGUCUGCCGUCAAAUCCCAGGGCUUAACCCUGGACAGGCGGUGGAAACUACCAAGCUGGAGUACGGUAGGGGCAGGGGGAAUUUCCGGUGGAGCGGUGAAAUGCGUAGAGAUCGGAAAGAACACCAACGGCGAAAGCACUCUGCUGGGCCGACACUGACACUGAGAGACGAAAGCUAGGGGAGCGAAUGGG
rnacentral:rRNA from 1 species